ACUCGUAAUGCGAGUUAAAACAUUCAUAGAAGACGUCAGGGACGAUAUAAUGGGGUUCUACAACACGGUCGUAGAUGCAGUGACGGUAACCUUGCCAUAUGUAGGGAAACAGCUAAUGGAUGCUAUUGCCACGCUCAUUUCCGCGGUCAAAUCUAUACUCUCCAACCCCUCACAGGCUAUGAGUGGAAUAGGUCAGGCACUUAUGAA